rnacentral:lncRNA from 1 species
UGGGCCCUAGAGCCAUUGGGUGACCUUCAACGUUGGGUGUCCAUCAAUGGUGGCCAUUGUCCUUGGGUUGGGACGCUGGCGUUGUUUCGUGUCCCUAUAAAUGGUUUCUUGACCCAUUGGGUGACCCUCAACGUUGGGUGUCCAUCAAUGGUGGCCAUUGUCUUUGGGGUAGGACGCUGGCGUUGUUUCGUGUCCCCAUAAAUGAUCUCUUGUCCCAUUGGGUGGCCCUCAACGUUGGGUGUCCAUGAACACUGUCCCUUGUCCCUUCUGGUGGCCCUCAGACCUCUUUGGGGACAUUGGAACCCAUGGGUGUCACCCAAGGCUGUCCCUUGUCCUCCUUUGUCCUCUCUUUGGGACGUUCUCGUCGUUUCGUGUCCCCAUAAAUGCUCCCUCAUCCCAUGGGGUGACCCCCAACGUUGGGUGUCCAUCAACGCCGUCCCUUGUCCCCCCUGGUGGCCCUCGACCUCUUUGGGGCCAUUGGAACCCAUGGGUGUCACUCAGCGCUGUCUCUUGUCCCCUUGGGGACACCGGGAUGGGUCCCUGGGGACACCGGGGUGGGUCCUUGGGGACACCAGGGUGGGUUUCUGGGGACAUCAAGGUGUCCCUUGUCCCCAUGGGGACACUAAGAGGGGUUCUUGGGGUGGCCAGGGUGGGUCCUUGGGGACAUCGGGGUGGGUCCCUGAGGACAUUGGGAUGUCCCUCGUCCCCAUGGGGACACCAGGGUUGGUUCUUGGGGACAUUGGGGUGUCCCUUGUCCCCUUGGGGACACCAGGAUGAGUCCUUGUGGACACCAGGGUGGGUUUCUGGGGACAUCGGGGUGUCCCUUGUCCCCAUGGGGACACCACAGCUGAGCUUUGGGGACACGAGGGUGGGUCCUUGGGGACAUCAAGGUGAGUCCCUGGGGACACCAGGGUGGGUCCUUGGGGACAUUGGGGUGGGUCCCUGGGGACAUUGGGGUGUCCCUUGUCCCCAUGGGGACACCAGGGUUGGUCCUUGGGGACACUGGGGUGAUCCUUGUCCCCCUGGGGACACCAAGAUGGGUCCCUGGGGACACCAGGGUGGGUCCUUGGGGACAUUGGAGUGUCCCUUGUCCCCAUGGGGACACCAGGG